rnacentral:lncRNA from 1 species
UUUUUUUUCCCAAGUGAUUCUAAUGUACUGCCAGGAAUGAGAACCACUGCCUUGCAGGCCACUAAUGAUAACGUGUUCAACAAAUGACCACAGGUUUCCAACUGAAGGCCGGUUUGGCCAUACACUAAGACCAGAGGAUCCUGUAAUUAGCCAGAUGUUGCUACUACUACUUAUUCCUUCCUUAUAAGUGACUUCACACUUUUGCAGUGUUUUCCAAUAUAUUAUCUUUUUUUGAAGUAUGUGUUGUCAUCCUUAGCUCCUAAGAUCUUUGUAAUUUCCUGAGUGAUAGGAGCAUCUGGCACAGAGCCCCUAAAUCCCUUAGGAUUUUCUGAGUCGGGGUGCCUGGGUGGCCCAGUCAGUUAAGCAACCAACUCUUCCUUACACCAUAGGUCAUGAUCUUGAGGUUGUGAGACUGAGCCCCGAGUCAGGCUCCCAGCUCAGUGCAGAGUCUGUUUCAGAUGCUCUCUCCCUCCCCUUCUGCCCGUCCCCAACUCACACACAUGUGCACGUGCUCUCUCUCAAAUAAAUAAAAAUCUUAAAAAAAAAAAUUUCCUAGGUGCUUAGGGGUAUCCUCUGGGCUAACAAGGCAACUCUUGCUCCCAGAUGGCUUCAACAUGGAGGCUUGUCAUCAGAAAGACCAAGCUAUGAUUAACCUUGGAACUUUCAGCCCUAUACCUUGUUCCCCAGGAAGAAAAGUGGUACAGACUGAGUAAAUAAUUGAUCAUGCCUACAUGAUGAAGCCUCCGUAAAAAUCCCAGAAAGCUUCUGAGUAAGUGAAUGCAUUUAUGAUGUGCUGGGAGAGUGACACGCCUCAAAUCCACAGGGACAGAAGCGCCUUUACUUGGGACCCUUCCAGAUCUUAACCCUAUGGAUCUCUUCAUCUGGCAGUUUUUUAAAAUAUCCUUUAUGAUAAAUCAGUAAUAGCAAGUGAACGGUUUUCCUGGGUUCUGUGAGCUGUUCCAGGAAAUGAUUAAACCUGAGGAGGGGGUUGUGAACCCUCCAGGUGACAGCCAAAUCAGACAGAAGUUGUGGGUCACCCACGGACCUACUACUUGCAAUCGGCAUCUGAAGGGGUGGGGAGGUAGCGUUGGAGGACAAAGCCCUUAACCUGGGGGACCUGAGCAGUUAGUAUCAGAGUUGAACUGAAUUGUAGAAAAUGGAGCUGGUGUUGAAGAAUUGCCCGGCUGUGGGGGAAUGUGUGUGAGAGUAAAUGAAAACAUGGUCCGUUCUUCCCCAGGCACCUUCACAGAACCUUGAAGAGCAAGGUUACUUGGAAGGAUAUUUUUCCUAUUUGUUUCAAAUCUAAUUCUUGUCAUACUGGGACAGUUCUUGAAAAUGCUAUCAACCUCUAUUUCUGUACUAUAUAGGGAAGGACAAAAGUGAGCCAAUAAAAAAUUAUAUAUUUUCAUGGUUAUAUGUAAAUGUACAUAUACACUUACAUAUAUAUAUUCCUACAAAUAUAUUUAUAUUAUAUAUGUGUGUAUAAGAAUAUACAUGAUAUAUUCUAUUUUUAUAAUUAUUUUUCAUGUAUUUAUAUAUCUCAGAUUAUAUUUUAAAUAUAUAUUUUGUAUUUAUAUUUAUACCAUAUAUAUUCCCAUAUCCCUUUUUUAUAAUUGUAUUUAGGAUUUAUUUAUUCAUUUUAGGGAGAGCAUGCAUGAGCAGGGGGAGGGGCAGAGGGAGGAGAGGAAAGAGAAUCUCAAGCAGACACCCUCCCACUGCCAACCCCCACCCCACCCCACCCCGAGGAGGACCAUGGAGCCCAACUUGGGCUUGAUGCCAGAACGCUGAGAUCAUGACCUGAGCUGAAAUCAAGAACAGGUCACAACCAAAUGAGCCACUCAGGCACCCCUCCAUUUCUAGAAUUUUGGUUCUCGCACUUUUGAACAAGUGUUUACAGAUCUGAGGUUUCAAACAGAAGUAAAACUUUGCUCUGAAAGCAUUAAGUCAUUGUGCACUAGUGUGGUCUAUGAGAUCUGAAAAAAAAUUACUUCCUUUUCCAUAGUUAACAUUCCAGUGACCCCUGCUAAGGCAGCCCUGAAAAAUAACGGUUGCCAUACCAACAGCUUAACGAAGAAGUCUGCCAUUGUCAUCGUCUCUAUUUGUCCUCAACUAUGUGAUAAAUUGCAAAGAUGAAUUAGAGCAAUUAAAUUCUGCCUCCAGUGCCUCCUGCCACUGGUUAUAAAACUAAAAAUCUUUCAAAUUCCUAUCUCCACAUUAACCCCAACCACUACUCCCAUAGUAAUCACCGUUAAUAAUUUAUGAAACUUUUGAAAAGUUUCUAUACAGACACAAACAGAUGCAUAUUCUUUUCCUAAAAGGAAUACUGAUUCUAUCUACAUUACACUAUUUGCUUUGUUCUCAUAGCAAAAUUUAAUUAGCUUCAGGCUUGAUAUUUCAAAUUCUAAAUUUUCUUUGAUAUUCUGAAAUCGCAUUCAGUUCCUACUAUGUAUGAGCUAAUUUCCAUGACUGUUAUCGGGGGUGGUGGGCAGACAGGCAAGGUGCACCAGGGAAGGAGAAGUCAUGUAGAAAAGAGUGAGCCAGCCAACAAGUUAGCAAUCUGGAAGGGAGUUAAAAUAAGUGUGGAAAUAACUCUACCAUAUAUUUGUUCAUAUGUUCUUUCAUGAUGGUUAAGUAUUUACACAUCCAAUAAUAAUUCCAUAGGCAAGACGGAGAAACCGAGGCUAAAGUCACCCAUUACUUCACAGUCAUUACAUUUUCUUCUGACUCAGUUCUGUGCUUUCUUCUACACCACGGAGCAUGGAAGUACUAACAUAGCUGUGACCGAGACUGCUCACUCUUGCAACUCUAUCCAUCCCCCACCCUGAAUAAAUAUACUUCCCAGCCAGCCUUGGAGCUGAAGGCUCUGUGGUUGGCCUCUGACAAUAAGAUAAAAGGAGUGAUAGCUGUGACUGCUAAUGCCUACCCUCUGAUUUCUACUCAGCCCUUCCCUACUGGUAUGUGGGCAUGUGUGGCGUGGUUGGUUACCUGAGUGAGCGUUGGUGGGGACAGGGGGCAGACCUCUGGAUGUCCAUUAAGGAGGAUAAAGUAGACCUCAAUGUGAUCGGUCACAUUUUUUCAUUCAUUGAAAAAAAAAAAAAAAGCAAAACUUGAAGCAAAUAUGAAAAAUGUUAGCAGUUAUUUAUUGUGGUUGGUGGGUACCUAAACAUUUUUAAAAUGUGUGUCUCUGUGUUUUCCAGUGUUUUGGAUUUAUGAUUUAAAGAUAAAUUCCAACAUUCAUCAACUGGAAUAUUUAUGAUUUUUUUUUUAAAGUAGGUUCCAUGCCCAAUGUGGGGCUUGCACUUAUGACCCUGAGAUCAAGAGUUGCAUGCUUAUACAUGCUAAGCCAGUCAGGGAAUAUUUAUAAUCAUUUUAAAUGACAUUCUAGAUGAAUGGUUAAUGAUAUGGGAAAAUAUUCAUAAUAAAUGAAAAAAUACUUGAACAAUUAUCUGAGAUUAAGAACUGGAAAGCUGGAGUUGCCCAUCCAUCUGACUGCUUAGUCUAAUAGUCUUCCACUCAUUUUUAUUUUUUAAGAUUUUAUUUAUUCAUGAGAGACACACAGAGAGACAGGCAGAAACACAGGGGGAGGAAGAAGCAUGGAGCCCAAUGGGGGACUCAAUCCUGGGAGUCUAGGAUCAUGCCCUGAGCUAUAGGCAGAUGCUUCACCACUGAGCCACCCAAGUGUCCCUCCACUCGUUUUUUAAAAUCCAGCCUAGGGGCACCUGGGUGACUCAAUGGUGGAGUGUCUACUUUGGCUCAGGGCGUGAUCCCGGGGUCCUGGGAUGGAGUCCCACAUCCAGCUCCCUGCAGGGAGCCUGCUUCUCCCUCUGCCUGUGUCUUUGCCUCUCUCUCCGUAUCUCUCAUGAAUAAAUAAAAUCUAGUCUAAAAAUGAUUACAAGUAGCCCCAACCAAGAAAUCUUCAAGUUGGCUUAUUCAUAGAUUAAAGCAGGCUUAAAACAAACAGUAACCUAUGCUUAAAAGUCAUCUGAUGAAGAGUCUCUCCUGAUGUGGUUUUUUAAAAAAAUACAUUUAUUAUCUAUUUAUAUGUGUGUAUGUAUGUAUGUAUGUAUGUAUUUAUAGUAAGCUCUAUACUCAAUGUGGGGCUUGAACUCAUGACCCGAAAUCAAUAGUUGUAAGAGUUGUACACCUUACUGACUGAGCCAGCCAGGCACCCCCUUCCUCUACCUUACUCUGUAAAAAGUUUAUGAACAUUGAUGGGGGAAUAUUAACAUCAAGACUAGUUAUCUGUAGUUUUUCUCUAUGGUUUAUAAAUGCUUUAUUACAUGUAUUGUGAUUUUUUAAGCCAGAUAAUUUAAGUCCUAUGUUUCAAAGUUAAAAGAAAUAUUCAAAUAUCUAAGAAUAUCUUAGAUUCUAACGAUCAUUUUACAUUCAUCAAAGACACUAAAAGAAGUUAUUAUUAAUUACGUUGCUUCCUUUCACUAAGAACCUGUCUUCUCAGCUAGACCUAGAUAUUGCCUGCAACUGGCCUGGAACUCCCAGACAGGCCUUGGUACUGUUGAGCAAGGUCAUAGAACAUUAACACGAGACUUUGUGACAAAAACAUGAGCCUUGUCCAAAGGCCACAGAGUCAAAAAGUAGAUGCUGACCAAAUCUUGGGGCACCUUAAAAAAAAAAAAAAAAAAAAAAAAUCAUCCACUGACAUUGACCAGUUGAAGCUGCCAAGAAAUAUAUUUGAAAAGUUGCCUAAAUCAAUGGCUUUCAAAACUUUUUGACCUAGAUCCACAUGAAGAAAUAUGUCUUAUGUUCAGAUCCAGUACUCAUAUACAUGUGUAAAUCUAAAACCUAAGUUUCAUGAAACAAUAUUCACCUUUACUACACGUGAUUCUAUCUUCUUCUCAUUGUCAUUUUUAAUUAAGUUGAUCACUAUUCACCAAGUUGUUUCCCAGUUCUCUGAAAAGCACUGUUAUACUAGGUCUUGGAUUUAUGCUGAAUCCUAUUAACUGAGAUGGGAUUUGACUUAAUUAAGAGAAAUGAAACUUUAUUUCAUCCAUUCAUUUAUCAACAAUUAUUGGGUCAAGCCCUGUUCUGACUCCUGAGGUACAGCAAUUAACAAAGACCCCUACUCAUAGAGUUUAUAUCAUAGGGCUCUGCUGUCCAAUAAAAGUUACUAGCCAAGGAUAUUUAAAUUAAUUAAAUAGAAGUAAAUAAUUCCAUUGCCACACUAGCCACAUUUCAGAUACUAACUACUUGGGGCCUAGUGGCUACUGUAUUAGAGCACAUACUGAACAUUUCCAUUAUCAAAGCUCUUUUCAACAGCUCUGCUCUGAAGGAAAGAAUUAAGUAAACUACAUUUUCUGUAACUUAAGUAAACACAACUUUCAAGCCUUCACUGCAACUAGCUGCAUCCAUGUAAUUGCUCAAUAUGAUUGUAGCCAGGACACAGGGGUGCAAGAGCACCUGCCUCUGAGAUUCCCAAACAGACCAAGUUCAACCACUUGCCGCUGACAAAGUCCAAAGGCAGAGAGAUGAGUGGUGGUGAAAGAAGAAAGUUUAUUUCAGUGAGGCCAACACUGGGAAGACAGAGGAGUAGGGGUUCAAAGACCAUCUCCAAAAGGUUGAAAAUACUUCCAGGUAUGUAUAAGGGAAAUGUGGGGCAAAGGUGGGUGGGUAAGUGCUGGUGGGCAGUGAAGGAAGGUUUAAAUCCAUCAUAGUCUUAAGAGUCUAUCAUGGGUGGUGACUUGCUGGCUCAGGGCAGUCCUUAUUGCUUCAGGGGGUAGUUCUGAUUCUCAUCAGGGGAUGCUUUGCCUUCAGGCUCUUCCACCUGAGCCAAGGGAAAAGCUGGAAAGAACCCCACUAGAAAGUUUGAGGUCAAAAUGGAGGCCAACGAAGUCCUCUUUCAGGACUUCUAGAAUUGCUCCUUAGGAGGGAAACACAGUUGGAAUAUACUUUUGUUGUUCCCCUUUUCUUGCAGCUUGCGAGGUGGAUGUGAUGGCUGGAGUUCCAGCUCUGUUGCAGGCCAUAUCGGUGGUGAAGAAAGGAAAAUCCUAGGCCUCUGACGCCCAUGAUGUCACCACACGUGUCUGGACUGCAGAUUCCUGAAUUUCUUUUAUACAAGAGAAUCAAUAAACCCUUACGUGUUUAAGCCACCGUAAGCAACCCUGAACUGAUAAAAGGGUGAACCCUUCUGAGGUACUUUUUUCAUGUGAGGACUUGAGUUAAGAGGCCAGAAGACAAUGUCUUUGAGACCUCUUUAACUUCAAGAGAUCCCAAAUCAUAUUCAGCUGUAAAAUUUAGGACAACCUUAGGUUUUGUUAGAAAUCACUGAACAAAAAAAAAAAAAAAAAAAAAAAAAAAAAAAAAG